GCAAUGCUGGUUCUGCCUCUGCACCAAAUGAAAAAAUAAAAUCAAAGUCAGAUAAAUUUUACCUUCAUCCUAAUUCUAUGCAGCAUUCACAGUUUGUUAAUCCCACAGAAUAACUCUGCCAGCCGAAGGAUCAGGCCAUAUGGAUGCUGCUCCCCCUAGUGUGCCCUGACUGUGGAGUUUCUAUUCCGGUACAACCUCCAAAGCAAAAAUAGCAGAACCUUAACGAACAGACCAGCAGAGCCCCCACAGGCAAGUGCAGAGAAGUCUAGUGUCCAACCUAGAAUUUUGGGCAAAGGUUUUCAGACAUGACCAGGGGGUUUAGGUGCCUCCAUUUUCAUGUGUCCAACCGCACUUUAAAUGAGACAGAUGCUCAGCACCGUCUGAAAAUCAGACCAUUUUGCGAUGUUUCAGGGCAGGCACCUAAAUACUGAGGCAUCCAAAAUCACUAGUCCUGUUUGAAAAGCUUGGCUUUCCUAUUUACCCACUGCUAAGUCUCACCUUCAACCGACUAAACAAAAGCAAACCUCGGCUAGGAGACAGCUCCGGAAAGUUGCAGUACUCAGAGGUUUGCAGAACAUAUGGGCCAAACUCUGACAAUGCAGAUGUGUACAUAAGUAUGCUUUGACUUCAAAUGCAAACUGUACAUUCAAAUUACUUUAAUUGUGAACUCUUUGGGGCAGGGGUUUUGUACAGCACCUUGGGGUCCUGGCCCAUGGCUGGGCCUCCUAGUCUCUACUCCGAUAUGAAUAAUAAUUUCUGAAAGUAUUAACACAAUGAUCUUUCUCCUAUGAAAACCUUUAUCGGGGAAGUGGAAAGAGCAGGCAGUGAGUCAUUUGAAUGCUUCUUACCCAUGUAGGAGGAAGUCCUUUCCUUUCUUUCUCAUAGCUAAAGGCUCACUAAUUGGAUUUUCAGGUUUGCCAAUCUCCAAUUACUUUCAAAAUAUAUUUGCAUUGUUACAUGAUAUGAUGAAAGAAGAGUUUAAUGCAGAAGCUUAAGAAUUUAUGCCUUGGGUAAUAACUGCUAUGUAUCUGCUUCUCCUGUAGUCAUACAUGCUGUGGCCCGUGUACCACCAAUUAUCCACAGCCCACUUGCUACGGGCUGCAGUGAGCUGGCUGGUCAUUUGUUGCUGGCUCCUCAUUUCCAGCUGCUGAAUGAUACUGAAAAUACGUUCAAUCUUUUCCCUAUAUAACUUUUCCAUAUAACCGAUUGUUGUAGUUGCUACAGGGAUGUUAUGCAACCAACCUGUGGAAAACAAGGCAAGUCUGAUUGAAGGAGACGCAGGGCGAAAGAAGAUCUGAAUUCAUGAAGGCAAAUGGAACAAAGGAUCCGUUACUGUAACAUUUCAAAGCAAUGAUUUAGCUCUAAUGUCUGACCUCUGUUUGGAUAACAGUGUCAUGUGCAUAAAUGUUCAAAUACAAAAACCAUAUACAGAUGUUGGAAAUAUUUUUUUGGGUAGAGUAUUAGCUCUGGCAUAAGAUAAAUGACUGCUUGGGGCAAUGCACCGGGAUUCAAGAGACUUGGGUUCUACUUGCCACUGAUCUGCUGUGUGACUUUUCACGGGUACAAACACUGUCUAGCAAAAUGGGCCCGUAAUGUUUGUUGGGGCCUCUGGACGUUAGUCUAAUAUAUGUAAGUUAGUUACUAUUAAACAACACACAAUUUCACUUGCAUUUCAAUAGUCCAUGCAUGGAAGACAUUUAGGGUGUUUUUUCCUGGUUUACUCAAUCUACAUUUAUUUAAAAAAAUAUUUACAAACUUUACAACAGUAAACACGCUGUUUUCAAAACACAUACAUUUGUACAGCUGGCUUUACAGUCUCAGUAAAUAAUAUGCUAUUUAGUCACAGGUGCAGAAUCCCUUUUCCAAAGCUUGGCUCUGGCCCUUUCUUCAGAACCAGUUUAGAAGCUGUAUGUAUGGGUGAGUCGGCUGCAGGGGGCUAUGAAGCUACUUCCAGCCCACAGUGGUUUUAAAAACUUAAAUAAUCAAGUCAAGUACCUCCAAGGAAUGAAAGCGGUCAUGUUAGGAAGGAAGCUAUGCCACAACAUAAAAGUAAGUUUCCCCAGCAUUCAAGAGGAACAUAUCCCCUACUGAUGGUAUUAAAUUGUCAUAAUACCAACAUUAUCAAUUAACACAUACAGGAAGAUAGAUUAAGCCAAUAUUAUCUGUACACGUUAACAGUAUGUGGCAUUAUGAUCUUUUGGGAUGGGAUUUUCCAAAGCCCGCAGUGCUGGCCUAACUCAGUUCUCAUUAGGAUGUUAUAUUCUGUAAUAGGAGAGUUUACAUAGACAGUGGAAGCCAGUGGGACUUCAUAGAAGCUGAGGGCAAGUCUACACUACAAACGGUGCAGCUACGCCUCGGUAGCACUGUGAAGAUGUUCUAAGCCAACAGGAGCGAGAGCUCACGCAUCAGCUUAGUUACUCCACCUCUGCCAGCCGUGGUAGCUAUGUUGGCAGGAGAAACACUCCUACUGACACAGUGCUGUCUAUACGGCCGGUAUAACUUCAUCGCUCAGGGAUGUGGAUUUUUCACACCCCUGAGCGACGUAGUUACACUGAAGUGUGUAGAGUAGACCUGGCCCGAGUUAGGUCAACACUGGGUGUGUGCUUUUGAAAGUCACUCCCUUUAAUGUCAGGAGAUCUGUUCGGCCAUGUUACUCAGGUGUUUUCAGGUUCCCCUGGAAUCUUAGAGGGAGGUUCUUGCUGGGCAAUUACAGAGUUUGGUCUACAGCUGUUGCUGGAAAUGAAAACAGUGAUAUAUAUGAUAGAGCAGCUUUUAACAAACA